GACGAACGCUGGCGGCAUGCCUAAUACAUGCAAGUCGAGCGAACAGAUGAAGUGCUUGCACUUCUGACGUUAGCGGCGAACGGGUGAGUAACACGUAGGGAAUCUACCUAUAAGCGGGGGAUAACAUUCGGAAACGGGUGCUAAUACCGCAUAAUAUCUUCUUCCGCAUGGAAGAAGAUUGAAAGACGGCUCUGCUGUCACUUAUAGAUGACCUUGCGGUGCAUUAGUUAGUUGGUGGGGUAAUGGCCUACCAAGACGAUGAUGCAUAGCGGACCUGAGAGGGUGAUCGGCCACAUUGGGACUGAGACACGGCCCAAACUCCUACGGGAGGCAGCAGUAGGGAAUCUUCCGCAAUGGGCGAAAGCCUGACGGAGCAAUGCCGCGUGAGUGAAGAAGGCCUUCGGGUCGUAAAACUCUGUUAUAAGAGAAGAACAAAUUGUAGAGUAACUGCUACAGUCUUGACGGUAUCUUAUCAGAAAGCCACGGCUAACUACGUGCCAGCCGCCGCUGUAA
rnacentral:rRNA from 1 species